UAGCUAGUUGGUGGGGUAAGGGCCUACCAAGGCGACGAUCGGUAGCUGGUCUGAGAGGAUGACCAGCCACACUGGAACUGAGACACGGUCCAGACUCCUACGGGAGGCAGCAGUGGGGAAUAUUGGACAAUGGGGGCAACCCUGAUCCAGCAAUGCCGCGUGUGUGAAGAAGGCCUGAGGGUUGUAAAGCACUUUCAGUGGGGAGGAGGGUUGAUAGGUUAAGAGCUAAUUAACUGGACGUUACCCACAGAAGAAGCACCGGCUAACUCCGUGCCAGCAGCCGCGGUAAUACGGAGGGUGCGAGCGUUAAUCGGAAUUACUGGGCGUAAAGGGUGCGUAGGUGGUUGAUUAAGUUAUCUGUGAAAUUCCUGGGCUUAACCUGGGACGGUCAGAUAAUACUGGUUGACUCGAGUAUGGGAGAGGGUAGUGGAAUUUCCGGUGUAGCGGUGAAAUGCGUAGAGAUCGGAAGGAACACCAGUGGCGAAGGCGACUACCUGGCCUAAUACUGACACUGAGGCACGAAAGCGUGGGGAGCAAACAGGAUUAGAUACCCUGGUAGUCCACGCUGUAAACGAUGUCAACUAGCUGUUGGUUAUAUGAAAAUAAUUAGUGGCGC
rnacentral:rRNA from 1 species